ensembl:lncRNA
GGAAGAUUACUUCUUCAAAGCUGGUGCAUGCAAAGAAAGUAUGAAUCUGGGACUGUUUGCGUAUCUUACCUUUCUCUGGGCACAGGUUGCGAAUAUUGCUGGAUUCGUCCAUUGAUGUAAUCCCAAAAGAGGCCAAGCUCCAUGUGUUGCUAAACCCGGGACAGACGGGCUGGUUUCAUCCUGAUGCCAUCUGGAGGGUUGCUACUGCUGCGGACAUGCCUCACCCCAUGGGGGCUGUCAUUUGAGCGUGUCUUUCGUCCUGUUUUCCUCCCCACCCCCAACUGGUCACAGCAGAUAACUGCCCCUCCCUAAGCCUGGUUCUGCCAGUGGGUUCUUCCUGUUGCUCAUCGGGGGUCAUCUGAUUGUUGGAGUUUACUCUGUGUUACUAUAAGACAUGCAUGCAUUUAAAUCCAGCUCCCGGUCUCUCUGUGUACCUGGCCUGUACCACUCCACUUGCUGUCUUUGGAAUGUCAACCAGACUUCCUUCUUUCACAUAAUGGUAUGAUCCCAGUCUAUCUUUGCAUUUGAUUGGCCACAUUAUAAUCCCCUCUGUUAAUCCUUGAUAUUUAUAAUUGAGUUAUCUAUUUAUAUUAGUGCUAUUUCUUAAAUGUGUCAAAUCUGUAACAUAAUGUAUUGUUUGUUUGUUGUUUAGUCUGUUACUGUUACUAUUUUUACCAUUU